GAUGAACGCUAGCUACAGGCUUAACAUAUGUAAGUCGAGGGGAAACGACAUCGAAAGCUUGCUUUUGAUGGGCGUCGACCGGCGCACGGGUGAGUAACGCGUAUCCAACCUGCCCAUCACUUGGGAAUAACCUUGCGAAAGUAAGACUAAUACCCAAUGACAUCCCACGAAGACAUCUGAAUGGGAUUAAAGAUUUAUCGGUGAUGGAUGGGGAUGCGUCUGAUUAGCUUGUUGGCGGGGUAACGGCCCACCAAGGCAACGAUCAGUAGGGGUUCUGAGAGGAAGGUCCCCCACAUUGGAACUGAGACACGGUCCAAACUCCUACGGGUGGCAGCAGUGGGGAAUAUUCGUAAAUAGGCGAGGGCCUGAACCAGCCAAAUAGCGACAAGGAAGACGGAAGUAUGGGUUGUAAACUGCAUUUAUACGAGAAUAAAGUGGGUAUCGUGAGACUUUUUGCAUGUACCUUAUGAAUAAGGACCGGCUAAUUCCGUG
rnacentral:rRNA from 1 species